ACUGCGGCUGAAAAUCGCUCGACGCGCCUGGUGCGGUACGCGUCCUCGCACAGCCCUCUCUCCCCUUUCUGCUGCGGUGCCAUCCCUGCACGCCGCCCUUCUGAGUUGUCUCUCUCCUUUGUGCUGUCAAGUACGCGCCGGGAAGGUGAGUCGAUAAGAACGAUGAAUUCGAAAGCACCACCUGCUGCGUUGCCGAUACGGCAAGGCAAGGGAUUUCAGGUGAUGGUGCACGGCGUUCUGGAGGGCGCGGAGUGCGUAGAGGUGGGGUCCAUGUUCGCUCGCACCCAGCUCUUUUUCGGCCCUGAUUGGGCUUUCCUGGAGAGCAACAGCGGCUACGGCGAGGACGCGGCGGCAGACGACGACGAUCUCGUCGAGCCCACGUACAGCAACAACGCUGAGGUGGUGACGCAGCUGUCCGACUGCGCCAAGGGCCCCGUCCCGUACUUUAGCUUCACGGCACCUUUUGAGUUCGCGUUGACGAGCACGAACCCAUUCGGCUGGCCGCAGCUAGUCAUUACGCUUCACACCGUCGAAGGCGCUGGUGGGAGCACCGGAAAGGGCGCUGAAGGCAACGACACUCAACUCCUCGGCAGCGGGGAGUCGAUCAUUGGCUACGGUCGGUGCUUUAUUCCCAUGAAGAGCGGCUACCACACAAGGAAGGUCCCCAUGAUGCAGUUGGAGAGCACCACCUCGAAGCAGCAGCUGAUUAGCUUCCUCACCCGCGAGAAGCCGGUGCUGCGCGACCUUUCCUUCUUGUGCACUGGCGACGAUCAGGUGAUGCUGCACGCACGGCCACUCGACGGCUACGUGAAGCUGAACUUCUCUGUCAUGAUCAACGGCAUGGAGUCGUCGGGGUUCGAGGUGUAGCACGCGAGGUCGCCGUCCAACUUUUUUCGGCACUCGCCGCAACGCUGCCGGCACGCACACGCCGGCCGGCUUCACGUUUACUCUUGCGCAGAUGAGCUGACCACGUUGGCACAUGCCUUCUUUUUCCCUUCUGCAUAGACGCAGCACCUCUGCAUUCGCAUCACGCAUACAAACAGAGAACCCGCGACAGGCAACUGACAAGUCCCAUCGAGUACGGCGAGCCAGGCAGAGAAAGGAGCUGCGCGCGCACAUUGCGACCCUCUCUCCCUCCUUCCCCCUCUCGCUGUGUGUACGGCUCUCCACCUCGUCUCUCCGGCCAUCGUCACUGUUGUCGAUCUUACCGUUUCGUCUCGUGUUUUACAUCCGGUUACGCGACGUCCCAGUUGCUUCGCCGCGACAGCGUGCGCACAAGUGUGCCGUAGAGAGAAAAAAUGCGUAUGUGCGGGUGGCUGGUUCAGGGGGGGGUUGAUGGCGGGGCGUCGUUCUCCUUUCCUCCAUCCGCCUCCAUUAUCGACAGACGCACUUGCAGUAGCCACCCGCAGGGGAUGCAGCCGGCAACAUGAUUGCAAAGAUCGUUCUUGGGCUGUGCUUUCCGCGGCAGCCGAGCGUGACAGCUCGUGCUCGCUUGAGCUGACCUCUUCAUGCUCCUGCGCCACACCUCUCGCCCUUGGUGUGUGCUGCGCACACACCAUUUCUGCUCUCGCUGCACGGAUGACAAGUGCACUGCAGCUGCGCACAAAUGCCUUAGCUCCUCUUCCCGCCUCCCCUCAUCUGUUCUUCGGACUACUGGGCCACUCCCCUCCUACCCGCUCUCCACAUUUCCCAUUCGUUCUCUCUGUCUGCGUGUGUGCCCAUGUCUCUCCUAUUUCUAG
rnacentral:misc_RNA from 1 species